GUUUUUAUUUAUUUUAUUAAACUCAUCUGAGACUUUUUAAUGAACAUUUCAACAAACAAAAUAAAGAGAAAAUAAAACGAUCAGAUGAAGCAUAACAUUAUGAGAAAAAUAUUGCAGGAAAAGGCAACACAUAAAAUACAGCAUUUAAGAUUAAAGUGCUAUAACCUAAUUAAAGUAUGAACACUCCCUGGCAAAAUAAAGUCCAUGCUUUGAAAAAUGACUAUUUACUGGAAGGUAUGCUAAACACGAACGGUAAUGAGUGGCGAAGGGCCAAACUGUGACUGUGUGUUAGAGACUGGUUUCCGAUCAGUUAUUAAUCUCCUAAUUUUGCCGUUCAGUGUUCCAUUAACUAUGAUAUAGUGUUAGAGUAUACUCCCAAAAAAGGUCGGAUUUGAAAUAAUAUGCGAGAGUGUGCUGCGCUAGGCAAGCCUGUCUCACGAUAACUAGAUUAAUGAAGAUUGAUAACUUCGUUUAGGGGGUGGCCAAAACGUUGACCUCUCUCUCUUCCUGUGGAAUUUGUGAUGGAGUCCAUGCUUAAUGCGUGGUGAUCGAUGUGUGGUGUUUGGGGUCUGGAUGGAUGGCUAGGUUGGUGGAAUUCUCUCUCAGUAGAGAUGCUGAUACGUACUCCCAGUAAUGUGUCUGAGUGUAUAACAGAGCCCCACAGCAAUAAUACUCCCAGUAAUGUGUCUGAGUGUAUAACAGAGCCCCACAGCAAUAAUACUCCCAGUAAUGUGUCUGAGUGUAUAACAGAGCUCCACAGCAAUAAUACUCC